rnacentral:rRNA from 1 species
AUGGCCCGUCGCUGGAAACUUAUUGAUGAUGCCAAUUCAAGAGCGAUGAGGGCUAUCAACGGUUAUGCCGUGUUCACGGGUUACCUAACCAUGGAUAUCAAGGGCCUAGGUUUUCUCAUACUUACAUGGACCACCGUCGUACUCCUUGGUGGUUUCGUCUCUGCGCUUCAGAACAAAUUUUUUUGGUGUCUCACAUUUAUCACUUUGGUACAAACAGCAGGGGAGGCAUAUGAAGGCAACGGGCAAUUAGGGGAUAUAUCACUAGUUACAUGGUCGAGGCAAAGAUUAGAGAAGAUGCGUACAAUAAACGUACAACAAAGGUCGUUCUACACCGGCAGAAAUGACACUUUGAUGUUUCUUGGAGUAGGUUCAGUCGUUUCGAUGGAGUGUGACCUGGUGCUAUGUUAA